rnacentral:rRNA from 1 species
UGGGGAAUAUUGCACAAUGGGGGAAACCCUGAUGCAGCGACGCCGCGUGAGCGAAGAAGUAUUUCGGUAUGUAAAGCUCUAUCAGCAGGGAAGAAAAUGACGGUACCUGACUAAGAAGCCCCGGCUAACUACGUGCCAGCAGCCGCGGUAAUACGUAGGGGGCAAGCGUUAUCCGGAUUUACUGGGUGUAAAGGGAGCGUAGACGGCAAGGUAAGUCUGAAGUGAAACUCCGGGGCUCAACCCCGGAACUGCUUUGGAAACUAUCUGGCUAGAGUACCGGAGGGGUAAGCGGAAUUCCUAGUGUAGCGGUGAAAUGCGUAGAUAUUAGGAGGAACACCAGCGGCGAAGGCGGCUUACUGGACGGUAACUGACGUUGAGGCUCGAAAGCGUGGGGAGCAAACAGGAUUAGAUACCCUGGUA